GACGAACGCUGGCGGCGUGCCUAAUACAUGCAAGUCGAACGAAGUGGCGAACGGGAGAGUAAUACGUGGGAUACCUGCCCUCCUUUUUGGGUUAAGAAUUGGAAACGGGGUCUAAUACCAAAUAAAGGGGGAUGGGCUCGCGGCCUUUCAGCUUGUUGGUGGGGUGAGGGCCUACCAAGGCGGUGACGGGUAGCCGGCCUGAGAGGGUGACCUGCCACAUUGGGAGUGAGUUACGGCCCAGACGCCUACGGGGGGUAGCAGUGGGGGAUAUGGCACAAUGGGCUAUAGCCUGAUGCAGCGACGCCGCGUGGGGGAUGAAGGCUUUCGGGUUGUAAACCUCUUUCGCUAGCGAACGGGUAGGUGGAGAAGAAGCGCCGGCUAACUACGUGCCAGCAGCCGCGGUAAUAC
rnacentral:rRNA from 1 species